AGCAGCCGCGGUAAUUCCAGCUCCAAUAGCGUAUAUUAAAGUUGUUGCAGUUAAAAAGCUCGUAGUUGAAUUUCGGGGUUAGUAGGUUGGUCAUGCCUCUGGUAUGUACUGGUCUCACUGAUUCCUCCUUCCUGAUGAACCUUAAUGCCAUUAAUUUGGUGUUUUGGGGAAUUUGGACUGUUACUUUAGAAAAAUUAGAGUGUUUAAAGCAAGCUAACGCUUGAAUACAUUAGCAUGGAAUAAUGAAAUAGGACGUUCGAUCCUAUUUUGUUGGUUUCUAGGAUUGACGUAAUGAUUAAUAGGGAUAGUUGGGGGCAUUAGUAUUCAAUUGUCAGAGGUGAAAUUCUUGGAUUUAUUGAAGACUAACUACUGCGAAAGCAUUUGCCAAGGAUGUUUUCAUUAAUCAAGAACGAAAGUUAGGGGAUCGAAGACGAUCAGAUACCGUCGUAGUCUUAACCAUAAACUAUGCCGACUAGGGAUCGGAUGAUGUUAAUUUUUUAAUGACUCAUUCGGCGCCUUA
rnacentral:misc_RNA from 1 species